rnacentral:rRNA from 1 species
GAACUAAUAAGGGCGUAUGGUGGAUGCCUUGGCUUUGAAAGGCGAUGAAGGACGCGGCGUGGCGGCGAUACGCUCCGGGGAGGUGCCAAGCAACCUUCGAUCCGGAGAUGUCCGAAUGAGGAAACUCACUGGAGCGAAAUCUCCAGUACCCCGCAGUAAUGCGGGGAGCAGACCUCGGGAAGUGAAACAUCUCAGUACCGAGAGGAAAAGAGACCAAUAGGUAUUUCGUCAGUAGCGGCGAGCGAACGCGAAUGUGAGCCCAAACUGCAAAGUUUCCCAAACUCCUUGGUAGUUCGAGGGGUUCGGGAAAUUUUCAGGGUUAUAAGGCAUUGAUAGGCCUGAGAGAAAUCGAAUGGCCAAGAAGUUACAAAUUGCUGCGGUAGCCGAACGCGCUGGGAAGCGCGGCCCAAGAGGGUGAAGGCCCCGUAGGCGAAACUGCAGCAACUUCUGCAAUGUCCUUGAGUAGCUCAAGACACGAAUGGCUUGAGUGAAUUUGCCGGAACUAACCGGUAAGGCUACAUACUUUCAAAGACCGAUAGUGAACUAGUACCGUGAGGGAAAGGUGAAAAGAACCCCGGAAGGGGAGUGAAAUAGAUCUGAAACCAUAUGUCUACAAAGAGUCGAAGAGGCCGAGAGUAAUCGAAGCCUCGACGGCGUGCCUAUUGAAGAAUGAGCCUGCGAGUUACCGUAUGCCGCAUAGACUUAAGCCCGCUAGGGCGGAGGUGUAGCGAAAGCGAGCGUGAAUAGCGCGAAAAUAAGUGGCAUGCAGUAGACCCGAAGCAAGGUGAGCUACCCAUGAGCAGGGUGAACUCCGGCGAAAGCCGGAGGGAGGCCCGAACCGUUGAGCCGUUCAAAACUCUCGGAUGACUUGUGG